UGAUCUUUACAAUGUUGCUGUUGCUUCAUGGAACAGCUCAGUCACCUUUAAAAUGAGCAGAUUGUCCUGUUCCAUUUAAACUCAUUAAAGAAGAAUCACACAAAUAAACAAAUGUGCAGCCAGCGCUGUAGCACAUGGGGUAAAGCGAAGCCUGAGAAGCCGGCACCCCAUAUAGGUGCCGAUUUGAGUCCCCGCUGCUCUAUUCCUGAUGCAGCUCCUUGGGAAAGCAGCAUACUUGAGCCCUGGUCCUGGCUUCAGACUGGUCCAGCUCCCGUCACUGUAGCAUUUUGGCUGAAGAUGGAGAUGAGGCACAGGUAAGAGAAGGUAUUCGACUAAAAACUUCAGACCAAACCAACAGCAACAAUAAAACAACUCCAUGCUGAAACCUUUGACCCAGAAUCUCAGUCAAUCAUCAAGGCACCCCUGCAUUCUACUUACAAUGCCAGCCAAUUAAGAAGCUGGGAGAUAAAAGACCUCAGGAGUCCUGUGUUAAGGGAUGGUCCAGGGAUGGCUACUGUACUCCCUCGAU